rnacentral:rRNA from 1 species
AUUGAACGCUGGCGGAAUGCUUUACACAUGCAAGUCGAACGGCAGCACGGACUUCGGUCUGGUGGCGAGUGGCGAACGGGUGAGUAAUAUAUCGGAACGUGCCCAGUCGUGGGGGAUAACGUAGCGAAAGUUACGCUAAUACCGCAUACGAUCUAUGGAUGAAAGCGGGGGAUCGCAAGACCUCGCGCGAUUGGAGCGGCCGAUAUCAGAUUAGGUAGUUGGUGGGGUAAAGGCUCACCAAGCGAACGAUCUGUAGCUGGUCUGAGAGGACGACCAGCCACACUGGAACUGAGACACGGUCCAGACUCCUACGGGAGGCAGCAGUGGGGAAUUUUGGACAAUGGACGCAAGUCUGAUCCAGCCAUUCCGCGUGCAGGAUGAAGGCCCUCGGGUUGUAAACUGCUUUUGUACGGAACGAAAAGGUCUCCAUUAAUACUGGGGGCUCAUGACGGUACCGUAAGAAUAAGCACCGGCUAACUACGUGCCAGCCGCCGCCGUAAGAC